ACGUAGGGGGCGAGCGUUAUCCGGAUUCAUUGGGCGUAAAGCGCGCGUAGGCGUCUCCUCAAGCGGCACCGUCGAAGCCGGGGGCUCAACCCCCGGAAGCGGGCCGAAGUGGGGGGAUCGAGUGCGGUAGGGGCAGGCGGAAUUCCCGGUGUAGCGGUGAAAUGCGCAGAUAUCGGGAAGAACACCGACGGCGAAGGCAGCCUGCUGGGCCGGCACUGACGCUGAGGCGCGAAAGCUGGGGGAGCGAACAGGAUUAGAUACCCUGGUAGUCCCAGCCGUAAACGAUGGGCGCUAGGUGUGGGGGAGCCAUUCCUCCGUGCCGCAGCCAACGCAUUAAGCGCCCCGCCUGGGGAGUACGGCCGCAAGGCUA
rnacentral:rRNA from 1 species